AAUACGAAGUGUAGCGAUGAAUUGUUGCCUGUAUUUGGGCACUUGGGCAACAAGGAGCUAAUAGUGAAACCGACAUUUCGGGCA
rnacentral:ncRNA from 2 species